UUCCAGCUGCAGGCAAUGACAGUGCCCAGGGCUCAGACGUGUCUCUCACAGCCACAGCUUGAGAGAAUGGCCUUGUGUGGAGCUGAGGAAAAAUCCUGGAGAUAUUGAAGGCUGCAUUUUCUGUUUUGUUCCUGUUGACCUCUGGCCUCUCUCCUCCUCACUGGCCCUGGAGAUUAUAAUUGACUGAUCCAACCCCAGGAAGAAUCAUGCCUGCCCUCACCCUGUUAUCUAAGAUUUCCAGGCCUUCUCUCUGCUUAUCUCAGUUUGCAGGUAACCAAUCAGCACUGAGGGCCAGCAGGGGCUAGAACUGAGCCCUCUGUGUAAGAGGAAAUUUUGUAUCCUUUAGACUUCAUCUCCCAGAAUUCCCUUUUCCUUUCUGUUUACAUGCAUCUUUUACGUGAUUAUAUGUAAUUUUUGGGUAAUGCCUCUCUUGCACUCCCUUCCACGUGAGUGGUGAGCAUUACCUGUGUUCUCCAGCUCUCUAGUUAAAUAUUAAUACAUUUUUAUAAAUAUUAUACUUUGGAGAUAUUGAAUAUUAAUUUUAAAACCUACAUUUGCCUGGCCUACGAAGGGACCCCAGAAGCUAACCUACAGGUAAGUAGGAAACCACCCCCUCCGGGUAGUCUCCCAGGCUUCCUGCCCAUGCAAAAGGCGGGAAGUCUGGCUUCCACUCCAUCUACUGCCUUUUGAUCAUUUGUCCCCUUAAUCCUUCCAGUUCUCCCCUCUUUUCUCUCCUCCCUUUCCUGUACCUUCUCCUUCCCACCCAGGUCCCCUGCAAAGCUAAGUUUCCCAGCUCCCCCCCUGAGCCCUCAGGCAAAUACUCUGAUUGACCCCCUCUCUCCUUCCUUUCCUGCUAUCCUUAUUCCUCUCCUCCACCUUUUCUACCUCCUGCUUCUUGCUACUAUCACUCUUUUCCUCUCUCUCCCUCCCUGUCUGGCCCCUGGCUGAGCCUCUCCACUCCAAGGCUCCCCAUCACCCACACCACCCCGUGCUAAUUUCAUCCCUCCUUUGGGGCAAUCCCCCAGUUCCCUGCUUCCUCCCUGCUUCUGCCCCUGCCAUUAGCUCCAGCCACUGCCUUUUUUGGUAAUUUUGGUAAUGAAAAAGCUGUCCAAGAUAUUUUUUCAAUAUAAUCCAUCCUAUAAACAUAUUAAAAAUUUGCUCAAGGCUUUUCUAACAGAAUAUAAGAAAAAUAAAAUGAUCUCUCACGUUAAUAAAGUCUGGGAGUGCAAUGCAGCACACUUCCCAUCUCAAGAUCCUGAAUUGGAUUAUAACAACCCCAAGGACUUUUUGCAAUUAUAUCGUUGUAGCCAGGUCAUUCUAAUGGCAAUUUAAGAAUGCUCCAAAAGUCCAGAUGCAUGGACCAAAUUUGAAAAUCUUAAACAAUCUGAUGAUGAGACACCCUCCAAAUUCAUUGAUAGGCUCAUUGAGCUUGGGGGUUGAUAUCUGGAUGUUGAUCUUUCUAAAGAAAGUGAUAUUAGACAAAUAAAGUGACACUUUGUCAAUAACUCUUGCAAAGUGGCCCAGAAUUACUUUAAAAUGAAUUGCCCAAGGUGGACUGAGAUGGAUCUUGAUGACUUGAGGAGAACUGCUGUUUAUGUCUCUAAAGGCCAUAUAGAAAAACAGGAAGAGGCUAAUAACUUAAUGGAAAUGUUUCAAAAAAAGUUACAUUUUUUACAUGAUAGAAUUGAUAAAUAAUAAAAAGGGCAUGAUACUCAACCAAUGGCACUUGCCCCUCUCCAAGAAUCUAAUUAUCAGUCCCUAAUAUGCCACUUCUGUGCAGAAAGGGAUCACAUUAUGAUGAACUUGAGGAACUGGAAACAAGCAAUUAGAAAUAAUAACUUCAGAAAUUACAACUUUUGAAUGAAUAACAAUUGUAGAAAUAAUAACAAUUAUGUAAAUAAUACUCCACAUCCAACUCCAAAUUAGGCAAUUGAUAACUCAUACCAAAUGACCUUGCAACAUUAUAUCUUGAGUGGAGCUUGUUCCUACUGCACCUCAGUGGGGAACCAAAGGAACUAGUCAAAAAUUAUGAAGUGUAUUGUUGGAAAUUUUGGAGUCUCUGUUCUAAAUUUCCUGUAGAAGUUUAGGGGGGUCUUCAAACUACAUUUCCCAUGAUUCCUGGCUUGCGUAAUCACGUAGGCAGGGAGCAUAACAACAUAGAGAGAAGGAUGAAGACUGAGGACUGGAUUGGUACUUUCUCUUUUGGUGAUUUGGAGUGGAACUAGAAUGGGAGGAGGUAAUAGGGCUCAGGUCUUUUAAACUGACUCUUAACAUGGCACAUGGCUUCCUUUUUCUAAUGGCUACCAACAAAUCUUUUCAAACCAUAAUAUUUUUAAAUCUAUCCUUUUAUAUCCAUUUCAUUUUUUACAGAAGGUGUAUUAGGGGUGGGGUUAGAGCACAGAAAUCAGAGGGUACAACCUUUGAUUGUCCAGACCCUGAUGUCUUACUACCCAUUGUCCCUAUCCACUGCCCCACCCCCACAUACUGAUGUGUCCCAUGUAACAUUAAAGAUUGGUAACACCUAU